GCGGGCCCAAGGUAGAGCCCCUCCUUUCCGCCCGACGGCCUCUCACGGCCCGCACCAGAGUGUGCCGGGCCCGGCCGCACACUGACCCGGGGACCGAGACCUCUGGCGACGCGCUGUGCGCCUAGCAAGUGGGAGGGAGAGCCGGGCGCGUCCCCGACCUGCCCACGCCCCCGAGGAAGGGCGCUCCGAGGGACGGAGCUGGCCGUCCGGGGGACUGCGGAUGCCGCUGGGGGCUCCUGUUUCUGGAGGAAAUAACUGAGGGUGCGGCGAGGCGGGGGGCGAAGACUUUGGAUUUGACGCUGGUGGCAAUCGCGACCCCUCCGAGAAAUGGGAGGCAGUCCAACGUUGGAGUCAGCACCUGCCGCUAAUAAUCUGUACAACUCUGGGAGUGGCGGUUCGCACGCACAGAGCCGGGGUGGUCGGAUGGAGAUGUCUGUAUGGAGGUCUAUUUGCAAAGCUGAAGCGGUCUUGGUUCCUACGCGGCGUAGACUCCCGGGAGGGAUGGGUCGGCCGAAAAGUGCAUGCUCCAGGCUGACUUCAUCGCGUCUCAUAAAGAUACCGUCUGAAAGCGGUCGAGCUGGAUGAACUCUGAUUGUCAGCCCUGAUCCACCCUUCGGGCUACACUUCCUUCCACCCCGGGCGUUCCCUAGGUGCGUUCCCGACGUUGGUAAAGGAAAGCUUCUGCGCCCCCUGGUGGUCAUAAAUAGAAAAGACGAACCACAGAGAGGAUCCUGGCAUUUGGCAACUCCGCUUCUUUCCCUCUCCGCCCUCCGAGCCUACUUCUUUCCCAUUGGAGGAAAGGACCGGGCCUUGUCCCUCCUGGAAUCUCCAGAGCCCCCUGCACAGCAGGUGAGGCCUCUCCAGAGGACAGCUCACAACAUGGCAGCUGGCUUCCAUCGGAGCAGACAGGGGAGAGAGAGGGGUGGAAGCCAAAGUGGUUUUGAAACUGAUCUCGGCUGUGACAUCAUUUAGGCUGCAUCUGUGCAUUGGAAGUGACUCACCGGGCGCAGCCCACACUCACGGCGAGGGGAUUGCACAGGACGAUGAAGACUGGGAGCCAUCUCAGUGGCUGAGUACACAGUUCAAAUCCCAAAUGAAGGCCAGAGUUAGGCCGUUUCACAUUCUUACAGCUCCCCCCCGCCAUCCCUGUCCAGGACAACGCUGAUACAUUCUCCAGGCUUCAGAGUAAAAGCGUCACCCUCCAGGAUUGAGUUAUGUGUCCCUCAGACAAGUCUCUGUGACACCCUGCACUUUAUCAUAGUCCCGACCACACUGUGACUUCCGUGGCCACUGGUCUGCCUCGCCCGCCUUCUGACAGAAGCUCUGAGGACAGCAGCUUGUCUCUUCUCUGCACUGAUGUGGACCCAGACCCAGGCACAGGCCCAAAAAUGUAGUAGGUGAAGAGCCAAACUAACGCCAUGACAGGCUUCAAAUAAACCUCAGAAACUAGAAGGCCUAAGUUACUGUUUUCCCAGGAGUGACUCAGCAGCGGUGGAAAGAAAAAAUGACCCACAGCGACGUAUUGUCCGAGCGAGCACCACCCCUAGCCUGGGCCAAUCAUAAAACGCCUGAUGUUCCUGCUGUUUAGUGAGCCCGCUUAGUUUUAAGUUAGCCAACCACCCCGUGCCGCACCAACCUCUACCGAUGCGCCAUCAUAUCAUCGUGUACUCCCUGCCCCUCACCCCACCUUUCACCCCCUCCCUUGCCCCCAACUGUAAUAAAAACCCUGCCCAACUGACGAU